rnacentral:sRNA from 1 species
AGUGGGACCAGCACUUCGCAGGUGGUGGGGAAGGGGUCAGACUAUGCUGAGUAGAGCCGGAGCUCGUUAGGGUACCUGCAGGGCGGGGUGUGCGUGGCCAGAGCGAGAAAGGGAGUGGGGCUGGGGGCGUGGCCCGGCUUCCCGAGCCGCUCAUCUCCUUUCGCCUCUACCACGAGCUCGUAGGGCUGGCCAAGGACAGCCUGAAGGCAGAGGCUGAGGCCAAGGCGGCGUCCCGGGGCCGGCAGGACAGCUCGGAGAGCGAGGCAGUGGCGGUGGCCAUGGCAGGUCGGCUGCGGGAGCUCCUGCGGGACCUGCCGCCUGAGAACCGGGCCUCGCUGCAGUACCUGCUGCGGCACCUGCGCAGGUGAGUCCCGGCAUAUGGGGUGGAGAGCGCGGGGUUCCGGGAGCCGCUCAGCACCUGGCCCCUGCCCACCCCGCAGGAUCGUGGAGGUGGAGCAGGACAACAAGAUGACCCCCGGGAACCUGGGCAUCGUGUUCGGGCCCACGCUGCUUCGGCCACGGCCCACUGAGGCCACCGUGUCCCUCUCCUCCCUGGUGGAUUACCCCCACCAGGCCCGCGUCAUCGAGACUCUCAUCGUCCACUACGGUCUGGUCUUCGAGGAGGAG